UUGACUCGUUAUACUAUUCGCUCAGAAGAGACAGUAGUUAUAGAAGAGUUUGAAUGUUACGUACCACCGGCAGGCGCUGGCCGCUGUGGCGACCGGCAUAGACCCCGCCCUGGGGCCGCCUGCCGAGGCAACUAAUAGGUAUGUUCACAGAGGGUUUAAGGGAGAAAAUCUCCGCUUAGUAAUGAUCCCUCCGCUGGUUCACCAACGGAGA
rnacentral:misc_RNA from 1 species